rnacentral:rRNA from 1 species
GAUGAACGCUGGCGGCGUGCCUAAUACAUGCAAGUCGAGCGAACGGACGAGAAGCUUGCUUCUCUGAUGUUAGCGGCGGACGGGUGAGUAACACGUGGAUAACCUACCUAUAAGACUGGGAUAACUUCGGGAAACCGUAGCUAAUACCGGAUAAUAUUUUGAACCGCAUGGUUCAAAAGUGAAAGACGGUCUUGCUGUCACUUAUAGAUGGAUCCGCGCUGCAUUAGCUAGUUGGUAAGGUAACGGCUUACCAAGGCAACGAUGCAUAGCCGACCUGAGAGGGUGAUCGGCCACACUGGAACUGAGACACGGCCCAGACUCCUACGGGAGGCAGCAGUAGGGAAUCUUCCGCAAUGGGCGAAAGCCUGACGGAGCAACGCCGCGUGAGUGAUGAAGGUCUUCGGAUCGUAAAUCUCUGUUAUUAGGGAAGAACAUAUGUGUAAGUAACUGUGCACAUCUUGACGGUACCUAAUCAGAAAGCCACGGCUAACUACGUGCCAGCAGCCGCGGUAAUACGUAGGUGGCAAGCGUUAUCCGGAAUUAUUGGGCGUAAAGCGCGCGUAGGCGGUUUUUUAAGUCUGAUGUGAAAGCCCACGGCUCAACCGUGGAGGGUCAUUGGAAACUGGAAAACUUGAGUGCAGAAGAGGAAAGUGGAAUUCCAUGUGUAGCGGUGAAAUGCGCAGAGAUAUGGAGGAACACCAGUGGCGAAGGCGACUUUCUGGUCUGUAACUGACGCUGAUGUGCGAAAGCGUGGGGAUCAAACAGGAUUAGAUACCCUGGUAGUCCACGCCGUAAACGAUGAGUGCUAAGUGUUAGGGGGUUUCCGCCCCUUAGUGCUGCAGCUAACGCAUUAAGCACUCCGCCUGGGGAGUACGACCGCAAGGUUGAAACUCAAAGGAAUUGACGGGGACCCGCACAAGCGGUGGAGCAUGUGGUUUAAUUCGAAGCAACGCGAAGAACCUUACCAAAUCUUGACAUCCUUUGACAACUCUAGAGAUAGAGCCUUCCCCUUCGGGGGACAAAGUGACAGGUGGUGCAUGGUUGUCGUCAGCUCGUGUCGUGAGAUGUUGGGUUAAGUCCCGCAACGAGCGCAACCCUUAAGCUUAGUUGCCAUCAUUAAGUUGGGCACUCUAAGUUGACUGCCGGUGACAAACCGGAGGAAGGUGGGGAUGACGUCAAAUCAUCAUGCCCCUUAUGAUUUGGGCUACACACGUGCUACAAUGGACAAUACAAAGGGUAGCGAAACCGCGAGGUCAAGCAAAUCCCAUAAAGUUGUUCUCAGUUCGGAUUGUAGUCUGCAACUCGACUAUAUGAAGCUGGAAUCGCUAGUAAUCGUAGAUCAGCAUGCUACGGUGAAUACGUUCCCGGGUCU